UUAACUACUAUGAUGAGAAGAGUAGAUAUAAGAAGUAGUUUCAGCGAGUGAAUGAUGGUGCAAGGUUCACACGAAGCUUAUAUUGAAGAACAUCUCUGAGUUUCUAACCGAAAUCCUUGUGGAAAGUAGACUUAGACGGCAUUGGUACCGUUAUUACCAAGCAGCAUGUUAGUGCUGAUAAAGUGGUCAUUUUUGACAAGUAGGGUGGUACCGCGAGCAAUGCCUUCGUCCCUUUU
rnacentral:ncRNA from 1 species